GUAUGUGUUGAAAAGGUUCAAGUUUAAGGUUGAUUGGGGAAAGUUGAAAGGUAAAAGAAAAGCAUUGAGCUCAAAGGUUGAAAAAGAAAAUGCAUGAGAAAAGAAAGAAAAGAAAAGAAAAAGCAUCAAAGAUGAGCUCAAUGUAAAAAUAAAAGAAAAGGGAAGAAGUUGGGAAUGAGUGAGAUUGGUGAAAAAGAGAGUUGUGCUUGAACUUUGAAUGUUAAUAUAGCUCUCUUAACUCAAGGAUUUUGUGCUCCAGAAAACCCAAUAUUUCUUGAUAGUUCAGCCUCAUUACAAGCCUUGGAAAAGUCCUUGUGAUGAUAUUUGCAUGUGAAGAUUUUGAUU
rnacentral:lncRNA from 1 species